rnacentral:rRNA from 1 species
UGGGCGAAAGCCUGAUGCAGCAACGCCGCGUGAGCGAUGAAGGUCUUCGGAUCGUAAAGCUCUGUCCUCAAGGAAGAAUAUUGACGGUACUUGAGGAGGAAGCCCCGGCUAACUACGUGCCAGCAGCCGCGGUAAUACGUAGGGGGCUAGCGUUAUCCGGAAUUACUGGGCGUAAAGGGUGCGUAGGCGGUCUUGCAAGUCAGAGGUGAAAGGCUACGGCUCAACCGUAGUAAGCCUUUGAAACUGUAGGACUUGAGUGCAGGAGAGGAAAGUGGAAUUCCCAGUGUAGCGGUGAAAUGCGUAGAUAUUGGGAGGAACACCAGUUGCGAAGGCGGCUUUCUGGACUGUAACUGACGCUGAGGCACGAAAGCGUGGGGAGCGAACAGGAUUAGAUACCCUGGUAGUCCACGCCGUAAACGAUGAGUACUAGGUGUCGGGGGUUACCCCCCUCGGUGCCGCAGCUAACGCAUUAAGUACUCCGCCUGGGGAGUA